rnacentral:rRNA from 1 species
ACGGGGGGCCCGCACAAGCGNGUGGAGCAUGUGGUUUAAUUCGAUGAUACGCGAGGAACCUUACCAGGGCUUAAAUGCAGUCCUGCAUAGGGUAGAGAUACCCUUUUCUUCGGACCGAUUGCAAGGUGCUGCAUGGUUGUCGUCAGCUCGUGCCGUGAGGUGUCAGGUUAAGUCCUAUAACGAGCGCAACCCCUGCCGUUAGUUGCCAGCAUGUAAAGAUGGGGACUCUAACGGGACUGCCGGUGCAAACCGUGAGGAAGGUGGGGACGACGUCAAAUCAUCACGGCCCUUACGUCCUGGGCCACACACGUGCUACAAUGGCCGGUACAGAGGGAAGCCACCCCGCGAGGGGGAGCGGAUCUACAAAGCCGGUCUCAGUUCGGAUCGGGGUCUGCAACUCGACCCCGUGAAGCUGGAAUCGCUAGUAAUCGCAUAUCAGCCAUGAUGCGGUGAAUACGUUCCCGGGCCUUGUACACACCGCCCGUCAAGCCAUGGAAGCCGGGAGUGCCUGAAGUCCGUCACCGUAAGGAACGGCUUA